GACGAAGGAUGCAAGCGUUAUCCGGAUUCAUUGGGUUUAAAGGGAGCGUAGGCGGGCUUAUAAGUCAGUGGUGAAAUCUCCUUGCUUAACAAGGAAACUGCCAUUGAUACUGUAGGUCUAGAGUACAUUUGCUGUGGGCGGAAUAUGACAUGUAGUGGUGAAAUACUUAGAUAUGUCAUAGAACACCGAUUGCGAAGGCAGCUCACAAAAAUGUAACUGACGCUGAGGCUCGAAAGCGUGGGGAGUAAACAGG
rnacentral:rRNA from 1 species